AGUCACUGACAUUAGAUACCCGCGUAGUCCCAGCCGUAAACGAUGUGCGUUAGGUGUAUCGACGACCACGAGUCGUCGAGGUGCCGAAGGGAAACCGUGAAACGUACCGCCUGGGAAGUACGGUCGCAAGGCUGAAACUUAAAGGAAUUGGCGGGGAGCACCACAACGGGUGGAGCUUGCGGUUUAAUUGGAUUCAACGCCGGAAAUCUUACCGGGACCGACAGCAACAUGAAGGCCAGGCUGAAGACUUUGCCGGAUUAGCUG
rnacentral:rRNA from 1 species